AGACUGUUCCCUAUGCCAAUUGCUCUGUUCACUUCUCUGACAAGGUUUCUCUUCUCACUGCUGGAUCUGCUGCCUUGUACAGUACCUGGCAAACAGCAAGACCCUGAGCAAUGUUUCUUCAGGCUCGUGUGUUGAACACUUGGUCAGCAGCUGGUGGUCCUGUUCCAAGCGAUUCUGGAAACUUUAGGAGCCUAAGAUAAAGAACCUUCUCCGCCACCCACUCCUGCCACCUGAGGCUAUGCCUAACGGCAAAGGGCCAGGAAACUCCAAACACUAAACAGCUAAUCUUCCUUCCCCUGAAGAACCUAACACAGUCCACAAUGGGGAGAGAAGAACUCCCCUCUCCCUACCUCCAGUUUAACUCUCCAGACAAUGCGAAUGAACAGGUAAAAAUUCACUGAUAAAAUCUGUCUGUGCCUUCAUAAGUUAGAAAUCCAAACUGAGCAGACCUACAAUUCCAGAAUUUGUGACACUGAGGCAGGAGAGACACUAGUUCAAGUCUAGCCUGACCCACACAGCAAUGCCCUAUCUCAGAAAACAGAAACACACAAAAAGGUGGAAACUACCCGGAGUCCCACAUCCACGGAUC